rnacentral:rRNA from 1 species
UACGUAGGGUGCGAGCGUUGUCCGGAAUUAUUGGGCGUAAAGAGCUCGUAGGCGGUUUGUUGCGUCGGCCGUGAAAACUUGGGGCUUAACUGGGGGCGUGCGGGCGAUACGGGCAGACUGGAGUACUGCAGGGGAGACUGGAAUUCCUGGUGUAGCGGUGGAAUGCGCAGAUAUCAGGAGGAACACCGGUGGCGAAGGCGGGUCUCUGGGCAGUAACUGACGCUGAGGAGCGAAAGCGUGGGGAGCGAACAGG